UUGAUUGGCGAAACAAAUAUUCCCUUCCCUGAGAAGUGGAAUUUUGAACCAACCUUGGGAGAUGUGGAACCUAUUCCCAACUUUCGUGGUUGGGUAGACUCACUUUUGAAGAUUGCUUCUAGGGAGCAGAGAACUUGGAAAUCAAUUUCUUCCUUACAUGGCUGGAAGGUCAAAACACAUGGAUUUGGCAUUAGAGGAAUGACG